rnacentral:rRNA from 1 species
CCUACGGGUGGCUGCAGUUUCGAAUCCUUCACAAUGGGCGAAAGCCUGAUGGUGCGACGCCGCGUGAGGGAUGAAGGUCUUCGGAUUGUAAACCUCUGUCACCGGGGAAGAAACGCUUCAAGUUAAUAGUUUGAAGCCUGACUUAACCCGGAGAGGAAGCAGUGGCUAACUCUGUGCCAGCAGCCGCGGUAAUACAGAGACUGCAAGCGGCGUACGGAGUCACUGGGCGUACAGGGUUCGCAGGCGGCCAAGCCCGGAGCUUAACUCCGGAAUUGCUCCUCAAACUACAUGGCUAGAGCAUUGGAGAGGGUAGCAGAAUUCACGGUGUAGCAGUGAAAUGCGUAGAUAUCGUGAGGAAUACCAGAGGCGAAGGCGGCUACCUGGACAAUUGCUGACGCUCAGGCACGAAAGCGUGGGGAGCAAAAGGGAUUAGAUACCCCUGUAGUC